UACGUAGGGUGCGAGCGUUAAUCGGAAUUACUGGGCGUAAAGCGUGCGCAGGCGGCUUCGCAAGUCGCGUGUGAAAUCCCCGAGCUUAACUUGGGAACUGCGCUCGAAACUACGGAGCUGGAGUGUGGCAGAGGAAGGUGGAAUUCCACGUGUAGCGGUGAAAUGCGUAGAGAUGUGGAGGAACACCGAUGGCGAAGGCAGCCUGCUGGGCCAACACUGACGCUGAUGCACGAAAGCGUGGGGAGCAAACAGG
rnacentral:rRNA from 1 species